UGAUGAACGCUAGCUACAGGCUUAACACAUGCAAGUCGAGGGUCAGCAUGGUCUUAGCUUGCUAAGGCCGAUGGCGACCGGCGCACGGGUGAGUAACACGUAUCCAACCUGCCGUCUACUCUUGGACAGCCUUCUGAAAGGAAGAUUAAUACAAGAUGGCAUCAUGAGUCCGCAUGUUCACAUGAUUAAAGGUAUUCCGGUAGACGAUGGGGAUGCGUUCCAUUAGAUAGUAGGCGGGGUAACGGCCCACCUAGUCUUCGAUGGAUAGGGGUUCUGAGAGGAAGGUCCCCCACAUUGGAACUGAGACACGGUCCAAACUCCUACGGGAGGCAGCAGUGAGGAAUAUUGGUCAAUGGGCGAGAGCCUGAACCAGCCAAGUAGCGUGAAGGAUGACUGCCCUAUGGGUUGUAAACUUCUUUUAUAAAGGAAUAAAGUCGGGUAUGGAUACCCGUUUGCAUGUACUUUAUGAAUAAGGAUCGGCUAACUCCGUGCCAGCAGCCGCGGUAAUACGGAGGAUCCGAGCGUUAUCCGGAUUUAUUGGGUUUAAAGGGAGCGUAGAUGGAUGUUUAAGUCAGUUGUGAAAGUUUGCGGCUCAACCGUAAAAUUGCAGUUGAUACUGGAUAUCUUGAGUGCAGUUGAGGCAGGCGGAAUUCGUGGUGUAGCGGUGAAAUGCUUAGAUAUCACGAAGAACUCCGAUUGCGAAGGCAGCCUGCUAAGCUGCAACUGACAUUGAGGCUCGAAAGUGUGGGUAUCAAACAGGAUUAGAUACCCUGGUAGUCCACACGGUAAACGAUGAAUACUCGCUGUUUGCGAUAUACUGCAAGCGGCCAAGCGAAAGCGUUAAGUAUUCCACCUGGGGAGUACGCCGGCAACGGUGAAACUCAAAGGAAUUGACGGGGGCCCGCACAAGCGGAGGAACAUGUGGUUUAAUUCGAUGAUACGCGAGGAACCUUACCCGGGCUUAAAUUGCAGAUGAAUUACGGUGAAAGCCGUAAGCCGCAAGGCAUCUGUGAAGGUGCUGCAUGGUUGUCGUCAGCUCGUGCCGUGAGGUGUCGGCUUAAGUGCCAUAACGAGCGCAACCCUUGUUGUCAGUUACUAACAGGUUCCGCUGAGGACUCUGACAAGACUGCCAUCGUAAGAUGUGAGGAAGGUGGGGAUGACGUCAAAUCAGCACGGCCCUUACGUCCGGGGCUACACACGUGUUACAAUGGGGGGUACAGAGGGCCGCUACCACGCGAGUGGAUGCCAAUCCCCAAAACCUCUCUCAGUUCGGACUGGAGUCUGCAACCCGACCCCACGAAGCUGGAUUCGCUAGUAAUCGCGCAUCAGCCACGGCGCGGUGAAUACGUUCCCGGGCCUUGUACACACCGCCCGUCAAGCCAUGGGAGCCGGGGGUACCUGAAGUGCGUAACCGCGAGGAGCGCCCUAGGGUAAAACUG
rnacentral:rRNA from 1 species